rnacentral:rRNA from 1 species
UUGCAUAUUCCAAAAGCGGAGGAAAAGAAACCAACAGGGAUUGCCUUAGUAACGGCGAGUGAAGCGGCAAUAGCUCAAAUUUGAAAUCUGGCGCUUGCGUCCGAGUUGUAAUUUGCAGAGGAUGAUUUUGGUUAGGUACCUUCCGAGUUCCUUGGAACAGGACGCCUUAGAGGGUGAGAGCCCCGUACGGUUGGAUGCCGAGCCUUUGUAAAUCUCCUUCGACGAGUCGAGUAGUUUGGGAAUGCUGCUCUAAAUGGGAGGUAAAUUUCUUCUAAAGCUAAAUACCGGCCAGAGACCGAUAGCGCACAAGUAGAGUGAUCGAAAGAUGAAAAGCACUUUGAAAAGAGGGUUAAAUAGCACGUGAAAUUGUUGAAAGGGAAGGAUUUAUGACCAGACUUUUUCUAGGAGGAUCAUCCGGUGUUCUCACCGGUGCACUUCUUCUAGUCUAGGCCAGCAUCGACUUUCGGCGGUGGAUAAAAGCUUUGGGAAUGUGACUCCUUUCGGGGAGUGUUAUAGCCUAUUGUAUAAUACACUGCUGGGGGUCGAGGUACGCGCUUCUGCAAGGAUGCUGGCGUAAUGGUUAUCAAUCACCCGUCUUGACCCACGGGACCAUACGU